rnacentral:rRNA from 1 species
GACGAACGCUGGCGGCGUGCUUAACACAUGCAAGUCGAACGGAAAGGCCCUGCUUUUGUGGGGUGCUCGAGUGGCGAACGGGUGAGUAACACGUGAGUAACCUGCCCUUGACUUUGGGAUAACUUCAGGAAACUGGGGCUAAUACCGGAUAGGAGCUCCUGCUGCAUGGUGGGGGUCGGAAAGUUUAGGCGGUUGGGGAUGGACUCGCGGCUUAUCAGCUUGUUGGUGGGGUAGUGGCUUACCAAGGCUUUGACGGGUAGCCGGCCUGAGAGGGUGACCGGCCACAUUGGGACUGAGAUACGGCCCAGACUCCUACGGGAGGCAGCAGUGGGGAAUAUUGCACAAUGGGCGGAAGCCUGAUGCAGCAACGCCGCGUGCGGGAUGACGGCCUUCGGGUUGUAAACCGCUUUCGCCUGUGACGAAGCGUGAGUGACGGUAAUGGGUAAAGAAGCACCGGCUAACUACGUG